GGCAUGGAAUCUGCUGGUAUUCAUGAAACUACUUACAACAGCAUCAUGAAGUGUGACAUUGACAUACGUAAAGAUCUGUAUGCG